UACAUGGGGUGCAAACGUUGCUCGGAAUUAUUGGGCGUAAAGCGCACGUAGGCGGUUUGUUAAGUCGGAUGUGAAAUCCCUCGGCUCAACUGAGGAAGUGCAUCCGAAACUGGCAGGCUUGAGUACUAAAGAGGGUAGCGGAAUUCCCGGUGUAGAGGUGAAAUUCGUAGAUAUCGGGAGGAACACCGGUGGCGAAGGCGGCGACCUGGGUAGAUACUGACGCUGAGGUGCGAAAGCGUGGGGAGCAAACAGG
rnacentral:rRNA from 1 species